GGAAUUGAGGGGACCCGCACAAGCAGCGGAGCGUGUGGUUUAAUCCGUUGCUACACGAAGAACCUUACCUGGGUUUGACAUAUAGGUUGUAGGGAACUGAAAAGGGACCGACCCUUCGGGGAGCCUAUACAGGUGUUGCAUGGCUGUCGUCAGCUCGUGUCGUGAGAUGUUCGGUUAAGUCCGCUAACGAGCGCAACCCUCGUCGUAUGUUAUAUGUGUCAUACGAGACUGCCGGUAAAAAGCCGGAGGAAGGUGAGGAUGAUGUCAAGUCAGCAUGACCUUUAUAUCCAGGGCUACACACACGCUACAAUGGUCUGUACAAUGGGUAGCCAAGCCGCGAGGCGGAGCCAAUCCUGAAAGCAGGCCUCAGUUCAGAUUGCAGUCUGCAACUCGACUGCAUGAAGCCGGAGUUGCUAGUAACCGCAGGUCAGCCAUACUGCGUUGAAUACGUUCCCGGGGCUU
rnacentral:rRNA from 1 species